UGGCUCAGACGAAACGCUGGCGGCGUGCCUAACACAUGCAAGUCGAACGUGAAAGUCCUUCGGGAUGAGUAAAGUGGCGCACGGGUGAGUAAUGCGUAGAUAAUCUGCCUGGUGAUCAGGGAUAACAUCUCGAAAGGGGUGCUAAUACCGGAUAAGCCCACGGGGUCUUCGGAUCUUGCGGGAAAAGGGGGGGACCUUCGGGCCUUCUGUCAUCAGAUGAGUCUACGUACCAUUAGCUAGUUGGUAGGGUAAAGGCCUACCAAGGCGACGAUGGUUAGCUGGUCUGAGAGGAUGAUCAGCCACACUGGAACUGAGACACGGUCCAGACUCCUACGGGAGGCAGCAGUGGGGAAUUUUGCGCAAUGGGGGAAACCCUGACGCAGCAACGCCGCGUGAGUGAUGAAGGCCUUCGGGUCGUAAAGCUCUGUCAGAGGGAAAGAAAUGUGGGGCGCUAAUACCGCUACCACUUGACGGUACCCUCAAAGGAAGCACCGGCUAACUCCGUGCCAGCAGCCGCGGUAAUACGGAGGGUGCGAGCGUUGUUCGGAAUUAUUGGGCGUAAAGCGCGUGUAGGCGGUUUUAUAAGUCUGAUGUGAAAGCCCCGGGCUCAACCUGGGAAGUGCAUUGGAUACUGUAUGACUUGAGUACGGGAGAGGGCAGUGGAAUUCCUAGUGUAGGAGUGAAAUCCGUAGAUAUUAGGAGGAACACCGGUGGCGAAGGCGGCUGCCUGGACCGAUACUGACGCUGAGACGCGAAAGCGUGGGUAGCAAACAGGAUUAGAUACCCUGGUAGUCCACGCCGUAAACGAUGAGUACUAGGUGUUGCGGGUAUUGACCCCUGCAGUGCCGCAGCUAACGCAUUAAGUACUCCGCCUGGGAAGUACGGUCGCAAGACUAAAACUCAAU
rnacentral:rRNA from 1 species